rnacentral:rRNA from 1 species
AUUGAACGCUGGCGGCAUGCUUUACACAUGCCAGUCGAACGGUAACAGGCCUUCGGGUGCUGACGAGUGGCGAACGGGUGAGUAAUGCAUCGGAACGCACCCAGAGGUGGGGGAUAACGCAGCGAAAGCUGUGCUAAUACCGCAUGUGAUCUGAGGAUGAAAGCGGGGGACCGAGCAGCAAUGUUUGGCCUCGCGCCUUUGGAGCGGCCGAUGUCGGAUUAGCUAGUUGGUGGGGUAAAGGCCUACCAAGGCGACGAUCCGUAGCUGGUCUGAGAGGACGACCAGCCACACUGGGACUGAGACACGGCCCAGACUCCUACGGGAGGCAGCAGUGGGGAAUUUUGGACAAUGGGCGCAAGCCUGAUCCAGCAAUGCCGCGUGCGGGAAGAAGGCCUUCGGGUUGUAAACCGCUUUUGGCAGGAACGAAACGGUGUCCGCUAAUACCGGGCGCUAAUGACGGUACCUGCAGAAUAAGCACCGGCUAACUACGUG